rfam:Felis catus isolate Cinnamon breed Abyssinian chromosome E2, whole genome shotgun sequence.
GCCUGGGUGGCUCAGUCGGUUGAGCGUCCGACUUUGGCUCAGGUCAUGAACUCGCGGUCUGUGAGUUCGAGCCCCGCAUCAGGCU